UACGGAGGGUGCGAGCGUUGUCCGGAAUCACUGGGCGUAAAGGGCGCGUAGGUGGCGCGGGUAGUCGUCGGUGAAAGCUCAGGGCUCAACCCUGAGUCGGCCGGUGAUACUCCCGUGCUUGAGUGUGGUAGAGGCCAAUGGAAUUCCGGGUGUAGCGGUGGAAUGCGUAGAGAUCCGGAAGAACACCGGUGGCGAAGGCGGUUGGCUGGGCCACAACUGACACUGAUGCGCGACAGCGUGGGAGCAAACAGG
rnacentral:rRNA from 1 species